GAAAUUAAUAGAAAAUCUAAGAAUGACAUGUUUAAUUACAAAAAUGGUGUUCGGGGGCGAAGCGUGUAAACCUCUUGAGAAGAUUCUUUCAUCUUCUUCCCCCACCCCGGAGAAAACUGCAUAAAGGGUUCAAAGAAAAUUCUCAACUUGGAACCGAUAAAAAAAUUUCGUCUUUUCAAGUUUUGAUAUUUGCUUGUUGUUCUUCAAAGGGAAGAUGCAAGGAGGUGGUAGAGAUCCUUUCAACUCUGGUGGUCCUUUUGGUGGCCCUUUUGGUAGCCCUUUUGGUAGCCCUUUUGGUGGCCCUAACAAUGGUCCACCGAAUCUCAUGUCUAACUUCUUCGGAGGGAGAGAUCCGUUCGAUGACCCUUUCUUCACCCAGCCUUUUGGUGGUGGCAUGUUUCAGUCCAGCUUCUUUGGUCCCACCAUGGAUCCUUUCGCUGGAAUGCGUCCUCCUCCUUCAGGUUUUAUCGAGAAUCAUCACCAGCCACCACCACAGCAGAGAAGGUCUCAUGGACCGAUUAUUGAAGAGAUUGAUUCAGACGAUGAGGGUGAAGGGGAUGGAGGUAAAGAGAAGAAAGUAAGGCUAGGGAAACAUGGCAGGUCAAGCACCGAGACUGAAACCGAAGUUGCUAGAGCAGAAGGUGAUACAGUAGUUUCGAAGCGGAAUGUUUAUGUUUCUUUGUAAGUGACUGUGUGUUUGCUUAUGUUUCUGCAGAGAGAAGGAACAGACAAAUGCAAAACAUGAAUGCAAAUGCAAUGGUGAACAAUGGGCAGUGGCAACCACAAACUAGUAGUUACAGUUUCCAGAGCUCCACUGUUACAUACGGUGGUCAUGACGGAAACUACUAUACUUCAUCCAAGACAAGAAGGACUGGAAGUGAUGGGUUAACUCUUGAAGAAAGCAAAGAAGCUAAUACUGCAACACGCGAAGCGGCGCACAGGAUUUCAAGAGGCUUACAUAACAAGGGCCACACAGUUGCGCGUAAACUUAACUCAGAUGGUCGUGUUGAUACAACGCAGACCUUGCACAAUUUAAAUGAAGAUGAGUUGGCUGAUUUUGAACAGUCUUGGAGUGGAAAUGCUAGAAUGCACUUACCCGGUUCGUCUGGUUCCUUUGGCAGUGGUCUUGUAAACAGAGAGCAACCAAUGUCGCUUCCUUCAACUGAUCCAAGCUCUUCUUCACGUGCAAGAGCAGAGUCAUCCAGAAGACCAAAGGCUGCAAUGAAUUUUAGAGGACAUGGCAGAAACUAAAUCUUAGGACUAUCAUGUCCUGUUAGUGAAUGUAACCGAAGACUAUAUCAUCUACUUUACUCAGGGUGCAUCGAUAGUGUAGCCUGUAUGAUGACAUAUGACUUUGAGGCGCUUAUGAUAAUGAUAUAUGCAUGUUUUUAUUACAUUAACCUGUUCUUAGCUGCUUGUAAUCAAGUAAUCAGAUCAAGGCUUUUCUUGAGCCA